rnacentral:ncRNA from 2 species
GGCCACUCUACCCCUGAUGGUGCCCGGCCCCGGUGGGGUUGGCUGAAAAGGGAACAUGGUGCGGGCUUGCCCCUAGUCCAUGACUGCCCCCGCAACUGUAAGCGGCAAGCACCCCCGACAUGACCACUGGCCUUGCGCCGGGAAGGGUUGGGGGCGCGUUGAGCCGCAAGUCAGGAGACCUGCCAUCACCGCCCCGUUGCA